GUGAAUCAUCGAAUUUUUGAACGCAAAUUGCACUCUCCGGUUUUCCGGGAGAGUAUGCUUGUUUGAGGGUCAGCCUAAAAAAAAUCGACAUAGUUGCUGUUUCGCGGUGACAUUCGUCGGAGAUUGGGUCAUCUUAAACCUUUGGGUUUUUUAAGCGGCUUAAAAUUUUUUUUACGAUCUCACGAAUGUUUCUAAGAUUUUACUUCUUAAACACGUUUAAGGUAUCGAUCUUUAUUAGACGUGGCCGUUGCAUUGGAUCGCG
rnacentral:misc_RNA from 1 species